AUUCACAGAUUAUUGUUCAAUUGAUUAUUGUUUAAGUUUCAAAUUAAUUAAAGUACAUUCUUAAUUAAUUUAAGGGCGAUCAUGCAGUUAAUCAAAGUAUAUUCUCAAUCAAAUGCAAGACCUUUCUAGAUUAUUCACAAUAAAUUCAACCAAAGUACAUUCUCAAUCAAGUNUAUUGUGUUUAAUCAUGUCUAUUCUUAAAUCUCUUAACCAAAUUAAAAGUUAAUCAAUCAAAGUAAAUUCUCAAUUGAUUUUAGUUGAAAUUNUUACUACNAACCAAAGUACAUUCUCAAUUGAUAGUAAAAACCAUUUAAUUAUAUGAAAGUUCCUAAAUUAAAUCAAAGUAGAUUCUCAAUUAAACCUAGAAACCCUAGAACUCAUAUAAUUAAUAUGCAUGUAGAUUCAAACAAAAUAGAGGGAACAAAUCAAAUUGUUUCCCCACACCCCCACACUUAAACUAUGCAUUGUCCUCAGUGUAUACCUUUCAUGUAAAAUGCAAAGAAAAAGUAUGAGGGAACUUACCUCCUUCAUGGUGCGAGGAGUGUUGGAGUGAUCAAAUUCA
rnacentral:lncRNA from 1 species